rnacentral:hammerhead_ribozyme from 1 species
AUCCAUUUGAUGAAUCCCAAAUAGGACAAAACGCGCGUCGUAGAU